CGCGAAUGGCUCAUUAUAACAGCUAACAAAUCUACUUGAUCUUGACACAAUCCUACUUGGAUAACUGUGGUAAUUCUAGAGCUAAUACAUGCAUUAAAGCUCUGACCUUCGGGGAAGAGUGCAUUUAUUAGAACAAAACCAAGCGGCUUCGGCUGUUUUCGGUUGACUCAUAGUAACUGAGCUGAUCGCAUGGUCUUGCACCGGCGACGUGUCUUUCGAGUAUCUGCCGUAUCAACUCUCGAUGGUAGUGUAUCUGACUACCAUGGUGAUCACGCGUAACGGAGAAUAAGGGUUCGACUCCGGAGAGUUCGCCUGAGAAAUCGCGAACACAUCUAAGGAAGGCAGCAGGCGCGAAAAUUACCCACUCUCAGCACGAGGAGGUAGUGACGAAAAAUAACGAGACCGUUCUCUUAUGAGGCCGGUCAUCGGAAUGGGUACAAUUUAAACCCUUUAACGAGUAUCUAUGAGAGGGCAAGUCUGGUGCCAGCAGCCGCGGUAAUUCCAGCU
rnacentral:rRNA from 1 species